CCGAGGCUGCAGCACAGCGAGGGAGGGAGACAAGGAGGAAUCUGUGGUUAGAGCCGUGUAAUUAAGCUGCUGACGCGAGGGAGAGUGAAAGGGGCUGUGGGGAGUGGAAUGAUGGAUUCACCACAUCCACUUCCAGUCGCUGAGCAAUAACAGACAGAGACUGGAAGGUUUUGGAACUGAAUUAUUCGGUGACACAAAUGAAAAACGAGGCUGAAGUCCUGCAUCCAACCACCUCUACCUUCACAGAACAACAACCUUCUCCUGGAAAAAAAAGCUGCUUGGUGGUCCCCCCCCACAGAGCACAAAUCUCAGACUGCCACAAAGAGGGUGUAAAAAUAAAAUACAGUGAAGGCAACAAUUCAGGACUUUACAAAAUAGGAAACAAAUCAAGACUUACCCUUUCCACCGAGGAGAAUAAAGCAGAAGUGGAUGAA